rnacentral:rRNA from 1 species
UGGGGAAUAUUGGACAAUGGGCGCAAGCCUGAUCCAGCCAUGCCGCGUGUGUGAAGAAGGCCUUUUGGUUGUAAAGCACUUUAAGCGAGAAGGAGGCUACUUGGAUUAAUACUCUAGGAUAGUGGACGUUACUCGCAGAAUAAGCACCGGCUAACUCUGUGCCAGCAGCCGCGGUAAUACAGAGGGUGCGAGCGUUAAUCGGAUUUACUGGGCGUAAAGCGUGCGUAGGCGGCUUCUUAAGUCGGAUGUGAAAUCCCUGAGCUUAACUUAGGAAUUGCAUUCGAUACUGGGAAGCUAGAGUAUGGGAGAGGAUGGUAGAAUUCCAGGUGUAGCGGUGAAAUGCGUAGAGAUCUGGAGGAAUACCGAUGGCGAAGGCAGCCAUCUGGCCUAAUACUGACGCUGAGGUACGAAAGCAUGGGGAGCAAACAGG